GUUCGUUUGCUUUUGGCUGGUAGUUGCACAGCGCUCUCGGGGAUAUGAGCUCUCGGUCGGAGCUGCUCUCCAGGCCCCUCCUUGGGACCCAGACAGAGAGGACAGUGAAGAGGAUGGGUUCAACUGCUGCGCUUCGUACCAGUCGUGAUCUCCUGUAACAGGGCUAUCCUUUUCUUCCGCACUCGCCCUCCGUCCCCUGUGACUGAGGCCCCGAUUGCGACGGGUGGCGGGCGGGCACCUGGCCGAGUGGAGGUGUGGGGAUCGGCUGAGCAUUCAGGGCCUGCCCGGGUCCGGUGGCGGCGGCGAUGGCGCUGGUGGACCCGGCGCGGGUGAGUGGAGGGCGUCCGCCGCCCUCACUCACCGGACCCCGGGCCCAUGAUAGAGGGGAGUGGGGACUCCCUGGACUCUUUUCCUCCACCUUCAUUUCUCUUCCUUUGCUUCUGGGACCCUAGGAUCACACCAAGCCCGGGGUCCAGAGUCCUUGCCAGGGGUUUUGAGGAAAGUUUCACCAUUCUGGAAUCCAGUGGGACAAGAUGUGGGAAGCUCUUUCAGGCAUAGGAACCAGGAUGUGCAAAUCCUUAUAGAGAUGAAGCUGAGCUGGGAGUAUCCAGGGAACUAUAGGUCUUCUUUAUGUCUGGUGGGCAGGAGUCAGGCCUGGAAUGGCAGCCUGGGCAGCUUGGCCUGUAAUCUGAGACUAGUGGGAACUAGUGGAAGGAAGGUGUGCGGUAGAGGAGAAAUGUGAUCUGACACAGGUGUUCACUGGCUCCCUUUGGCUGCAGAGUGGAAAACAGAGGUGGGGUUGGGGGUGGGUGAGGCUUAGGGAGCAGAAAGGGAAGCCCAUAAGGAUGCUCUUUACUAGAUCAGGUGGGUGAUGGUGUCUUGGCCUGAGUGGUGACUGGAGUUGGGAGAAGUGGUUGGAUUUUGGAUCUUUCUUUUAGGCCAGCCAGAUUUUAUGAUGUGCAGAAAAGUGGAGGAGGCUGGGAUAAUCCCCAUGGAUUUUGGCCUCAACUAGGAGAAGGUAGAAUUGAAAUACGUUGAUUGAGAUGGGGAGGUUGCUGGGUGCAGCAGGUUUCAGGGAAGAUCGGAAGGCAGAUUUUUUACCCUGUCGAGGCUGAGAUGUCCUAAAGACUUCCAGGUCAUCUGGACACUGAAUGUCUGAUUAUACUGAGGAAUUCAACUUGGGGACAUCCAGUUAGCAGUCAGCCUGUGAACUGAGGUAGAGCUCUGGCUCAGAUUUGGGAGGGGGCAUCUCUAGCUUAUGGUGAAAGAUGUCCCACAGGAGCAGCUGAGGACUGGGUGACUGGCCUGGGUACCUAGGCAGGGUUGGUGGGUGUCACAAAGUCAGAUGAGGGGAGGAGCAGCCAUGAGAGAAGGUGUGUGUAUGAGAGGAUCCAGAACGUGACCAAGAUCCCUGGGACAGGCUGAAGCAUAUUGGAGAUGCAAGCAACAUGACAGUGGGAAUAGGGCUGAUGUUUAUUUACUUUUCUAUGGACUCACCAGCAUUUCUUGGCCAUCCUCUGUGGGACCUGAGGGUUUUAGUCAGGAUAGCAGAUUAGCUCAAUGGUAAUCACCUGGGGGUAUCCCAUGCCUGGGGUGGGAGGUGGUGGGGCCGGGCUUUGAAUGUGCAUUAUGAGGAGAGAGGAAUACUGUGGAUGGUGAGGGGACAGAAUCAAUAAAGGCAGGGAGACCUGGAGGUCCCAGAGGUCUUUGUGGCCCAGUCUGGAUGGCUAAGGGAUAAAGGUAGGAAUAGGAUCAGUUAGAGAAACUCAAGGAAGAGGCUGGAUCCCACCUCUGGAGGUUGGGACAUUUGGAAGUCUGGGUCAGGAUGAGAUCCUGAUUGACCUCACCAAGUGAGCCACAUUCUGGACACCAUUUGCAGAGUGAUAUGUAGGGUGAGUGGGAGGAAGAUGUGCCAUGGAUGUUGGUGGGGUCUGGAAAUGUGUGGUACAAAGAUGGACGUGCACAUGCAGAGGUGGUGUGAAUUGAUGGACUGGAGUCCUGGUACUGGGGGGCCUAUGUGAGAUGAGCCCCAGUUUGGUUGUUCUGCGAUUCAGGAACUGGGAAGCCAAGGGAAUUGCCUGGUAGAGGAAGGAGGCCCCACAACCAGGUCAGAGCUUGUGGCAACUACCUGCCCAUCUCCCUGCUGUGUGAAGGAGGACAUAGUGAUCAGUGACACAAGGAAACAAUGGCACCCAUGGUAUUGGAGCUUCAGGAGAAGGGUGCCCUAGGAGUGUGUUGGCAGGGGUGAUUUGGGGGUCAGAGACUACCCACCAGACAGCAUGUGGGAUCUAGGUCUCGAUCGGUUCAUCUGUAUAUUUUUUUGUUAGUUAUUCUGCUGUCUUUGGUUUGGCUGACUUAGCUGUCCUCAUCAUGGCAGGGCUGGGGAACCUUUGAAGAUGUGGUUGUGUACUUCUCCUGGGAAGAGUGGGAGCUCCUUGAUGAGGCUCAGAGGCACCUGUAUUGUGAUGUGAUGCUUGAGAAUUUGGCACUUGUAGCCUCACUGGUUAAGGCCUUUCCACCCCUACCCUCACCCCCAGCCUCAGUUCUAGUCUCUGUCCUUCUUCUUUUCCCAGGAAUAGCUCUGUCUUCCUACAGCUGAGCAUGGGUGUUGCUUCGUCCUCUGGACUAUCUGCUGUGUGUGCAGAGCUGGGGCACAGGCACAGUCUGCUCCUUUCCCUGAGGAGCCCCAAUAUCUGCUUCUCUUUCUGGGGAAGGGCUCAGGACUGCGGGGUCUCAGGUUGGCUGCCUGAGUUUGUUCAGAUCAAUGGCACUGCUGUGCCCAGGUUCGUACCCCCUCUUUAUAUCAGGCAUUUCCAGGAGCCUAGCUAUGUCACAGACUCUAGACACCAACAUGGUUAUUACUUGUGGCAACCACUGGGCUCUUCCUGUAAGAUACUCCUCAGAGGCUUAUUUUAUAACAUUGAAUUUUCUUCCCAGUUGCAAAGAGGACAUGAGCUCCCUGUGGUCUGUUGCAGCUUGGAUUGCUGUUAGCUGGGCCAGCCACUCACCCACCCUAUGUUUUUCCCAGGACUUACAACCUCUAAGUCCUGUGUGGUUGCUCAUCUGGAACAGGACAAAGACCCUGGGAGCCUGACAGAGUGGACAUGUCUCCAUACACUGCAAGAGAGACUGAGAGGGGGUCUGGCUCUGAUGAGUGGGAGCCAGAGAAGAGGUUGUUGGUGUGGAGUAGGGGAAGCCCCUCUUGAACAGAGUGUUUCUGUAGAAGGAGUGCUCCAGUUCAGGACCCCGAAGGCGUGUCCUUCUACCCAGAAGGCCAACACCUGUGACAUGUGUGGUCUGGUCUUGAAAGACAUAUUACACUAGCUGAGCAUCAAGGAAUAUACCAUAGGCAGAAACCAUAAAAGUAUGAGGUGUGUGGGAGAGGGUUCUGGCUCAGUACAAACUCUCGCCAGCACCAAAUGGAAGACCACAGUGGAGAAAAACUCUUCACAUGCAGGGAACAUGUUAACGAUGUCCUGGACAGCCAUGACCUGCAGCAUCAGGCCACCCACAGCAUGGGGAAGCCACACAGGAGCACCAAGAACAAGGAGGCCUUCCAACACAGCUCUAGCUGCCAGCAGCAGCAGGAAGUCCAUGCCACACAGAAGCCCUUCAAGUGCAGCAACUGAGGGAAAGCCUUUCUGGAGGCCUUCAUGCUCCUGGACCACCUGAUAACUGACUCCAAAGAGAGACCUUUCAGAUGCCCCACAGGGGGAAACUUCUCUAAAUAGAACUUGACCGUUGUUGAUCAGCAAAAAAAAUCACACUGGAGAAACAUCCCAUGUGUGUAAGGAAUGUGGGAAGGCCUUCGGGCACCUUUUUAAACUGAGGACACAUCAGAAAGUUCAUACCAGACAAAUGCACCACAGUUGCAGUGAAUGUGGGAAAACCUUCACCCGGAAACACUUGUUCAGCACCAGAGUUCACACUAGAGAACGGCCUUAAUGAAUGUGGCCAGUGUGGGAAGGCCUUCACUCGCAGCUUCCAAGUUGUUCAGCAUCAGAAAGUUCACAACACAGAAAGGACUUAUGAAUGCAGACAUGCCAGAGAGUCUUUAGCUGUAUUGCCAAUUUUGUUGAGCCCCAGAAAAUACAUAUUGGGGAAAGGCCUUAUGAAUGCAAUGAAUGGGGGAAAGCCUUCAUUAAUAGCUCUCCUCUUGUUCAGCAUCAGAAAGUUCACAACACAGAAAGGCCUUUUGAAUGCAGUGAAUGUGGAAAUACCUUCCAGCAAACCUCCAAACUUAUUCUGCAUCAAAGGAGUCAAACAGGAGAAAGGGGUUAUAAAUGCAACCAGUGUGGGAAAGCCUUCAGUUGCCCCUCCAACCUUGUUCCACACCAGUGAAUUCAUACUGGAGUGCUUGGAAUGUGGGAAAGCCUUCAGGCAAAGCUAUGCCCUCAUUCAGCACCAGAAGGUUCACACUAGAGGAAGGCCUUAUGAGUGCAGUGAAUGUGGAAAAGCCUUCAGUUAUAACUCUAACCUUGUUAAACAUCAGAAAGCUCACACUGGAAAAGGGCCUUAUGAGUGCAGCCAGUGUGGGAAAGCUUUCAGUGAAAGCUCCAUCCUCAGCACCAGAGAGUUCACACUGGAGAAAAGCCUUAUGAGUGUAACAAGUGUGGAAAACCUUUCUGUGGGAUCCCUGGGUGGCGCAGCGGUUUGGCGCCUGCCUUUGGCCCAGGGCGCGAUCCUGGAGACCCGGGAUCGAGUCCCACAUCGGGCUCCCGGUGCAUGGAGCCUGCUUCUCCCUCUGCCUGUGUCUCUGCCUCUCUCUCUCUGACUAUCAUAAAUAAAUAAAUAAAAAUUUUUAAAAAAGGA